ensembl:lncRNA
AGAGUUGAAAGCUCAACUAACCAUCUCAGAUUCACAGAAGCAUCUGCCAGGAAGAGCAUCUGGUUUCAGGAUUCCUUCCACGACUUCACAGCCCAAGCAAACUCGACAAGAAAGUGACUCAAUCAGUAGUGGUGGAUUGACCUCAACUAGACCCCGUCCAAGCUACUGUUUUCGUUGCGGAGAAGACGGUCAUAUCGCCGUAAACUGUGAAAAUGAUCCAGAUCCUGCUAAAGUAGAAAGCAAACGCCACCAGCUGAGGGAGAAACAAGCUCAGUGGGACCUGAAAAACAGAGUUGCAUCCCCGAGGUUAAACUCCAAUCAGUCUCUGUAGCAGGGCGUACGGAAACUGAGAGAAGACCUACAUGCCCUAACAAACCUAGAAAAGCAUUCAACAAGUGUCAUGAAGUAAUUCAGAGAAAUUUACCAAGAGGAUUGGUUGGAAUGAAAUGUACUGCCCAGUUAAUAGUUGAAGGAACUCCAGUGAACUGUUUGAUAGAUACAGGUUCCCAAGUAACCACCAUUCCGCUUUCCUUUUAUCACAAACAUCUGUCGAAACAUCCUUUGAAGUCACUUGAGUCUUUACUGGUAGAGGGAGCAAAUGGCCAGUCAGUCCCCUACUUGGGCUAUGUAGAGCUCACUCUGACAUUCCCUUCAGAGUUCUUAGGAGUAAAAUCAGAAGUCACUACGUUAGCCCUAGUGGUCCCUGAUUUGAUGCACAUGCCCCAGGUCCUUGUGGGAACGAAUUCCCUUGAUGCUCUUUAUGCGAACCAUGCUCAAGAAGGUUCAGGAAACUUCAAUCCAGCUUUUAAUGGAUAUCAAGCAGUUCUCAAAAUUCUGGAUGUCAGACAUAAACAAAUGAGCACUGAAGUUCUGGGAUGUGUAACAUUGGCAGGGACUACUCCAAAAGUUGUGUCAGCAGGGAGUGUAGCUGUUCUUGAUGGAGUUGUUAAUCUAAGUUGCUGUUCUCCUGAGAGCUUGACAACAUUAGGGCAGCCAGAAAUGUCCUCUAUGCCAGGUGGAUUAUUAGUGGCUAGUGGACUGUACACUUUGCCUGCUAAACGCUCUUUUACUUUACCUGUAGUGGUGAGAAAUGACACCCAGACUGACAUAACUGUUCCACCAAAAGCUGUGAUCGCCGAAAUGUACACUGUUCAUCACGUAAUGGAGACGCAGGCAAAACAUGAUGCUCCUCAUAUGCAAUUGAACUCUGGCAGCUCACCGAUAAAAUUUGAUUUUGGUGAUUCCCCUUUACCAGCAGAGUGGAGGACCCGAAUAUCAGCUUUACUGAACACAAUGCCUGAGGUUUUUGCAUUACACGACAUGGACUAUGGUCAUACCGAUAAAGUGAGACAUCACAUCAAACUCAGUGAUGAAACUCCUUUUAAACAUCGAGCCAGGCCCAUUCAUCCACAGGAUGUCGACGCUGUCCGCAAGCACCUGCAAGACUUGUUGGCUGCUGGAAUUAUUAGAGAAUCUGAGUCUCCCUUUGCCUCCCCUAUUGUGGUGGUGAGGAAGAAGGAUAAUUCAGUACGCCUUUGUAUCGACUUCAGAAAACUCAACUCCCAGACUAUAAAGGACGCCUAUGCGCUUCCCAACUUGGAAGAGGUGUUUUCCGUUUUAACCGGUUCGAAGUGGUUCUCCGUUCUGGAUUUGAAGUCGGGGUACUACCAAAUCGAGAUGGAGGAAGCGGAUAAACAUAAGACCGCCUUCGUGUGCCCGCAAGGAUUCUGGGAGUUUAAUAGAA